rnacentral:rRNA from 1 species
GACCCUAUAGAGUUUAAUAUUUAAUUAAUAAAUUAUUUUUUAGUAUUUAAUAUUAAUUUAUUAAUUAAAUAUUUGAUUGGGGUGAUUGAAAAAUUUGAAUAACUUUUUUUAUAUUUAAACAUUAAUUUAUGAUUAUUUGAUCCAUUAUUUAUGAUUAUAAGAUUAAAUUACCUUAGGGAUAACAGCGUAAUUUUUUUUGAGAGUUCAAAUCGAAAAAAAAGAUUGCGACCUCGAUGUUGGAUUAAAAUUUAUUUUUGGUGUAAAAGCUAAAUUUAUUGGGUCUGUUCGACCUUUAAAAUUUUACAUGAUCUG